GAUGAACGCUGGCGGCGUGCCUAAUACAUGCAAGUCGAGCGAACAGACGAGGAGCUUGCUCCUCUGACGUUAGCGGCGGACGGGUGAGUAACACGUGGAUAACCUACCUAUAAGACUGGGAUAACUUCGGGAAACCGGAGCUAAUACCGGAUAAUAUAUUGAACCGCAUGGUUCAAUAGUGAAAGACGGUUUUGCUGUCACUUAUAGAUGGAUCCGCGCCGCAUUAGCUAGUUGGUAAGGUAACGGCUUACCAAGGCAACGAUGCGUAGCCGACCUGAGAGGGUGGUCGGCCUCACUGGAACUGAGCCACGGUCCAGACUCCUACGCGAGGCAGCAUUAGGGAAUCUGCCGCAAUGGGCGAAAGCCUGACGGAGCAACGCCGCGUGAGUGAUGAAGGUCUUCGGGUCGUAAAACUCUGUUAUUAGGGAAGAACAAAUGUGUAAGUAACUAUGCACGUCUUGGCGGUACCUAAUCAGAAAGCCACUGCUAACUAC
rnacentral:rRNA from 1 species